UCACAUAGGCAUCUUCUCAUCCCCACCAUCACAAGAAUGGUGUCUAGGAAGAAGCUGGAACAGACCUGGCUUAAAAGCAGACUAGGCAUGGGACAGCAAAUCAGCAGUUCAAGGAGCUGAGGAGAGAAGAACAAAGAGCAGAGGGAUUUAACUGAGGAUACCACAUUGCAUUUGGUUACCAUGUUUCCGGAAUCUUCUCCAGUCUGGCAGAAUCAAACUACAGUCAACUUAUGGUGAGGAGCUCUUCAAACCAUUACUGAAAUUGCCAUUAAGAUACACCUGCUGCACAAGAUCUUCCAUGGGCCUUGAGUGAUGAACAUAAGGAUAAUCCAGGAGAAAGAAAGAAGGUCAGAUGGCUCAACAGCACUGCCAACGAGGGGUCAGCAGUAGAAGAGAACUAGAUUUGGUCAUCCUGAGUAUGGUGGUGAUAUCUUCCUCAGUGAGAAAGAAAUUACAAGAACAGAAGUCAGUUGGGUGCCUGUGAAGCACUGGUGAGAUUAGACUAUGCAGAGAGGAAAACUCGGGAAGAUUCUGCGGCUAAACACAUUAAAAUUGCAUUAUGUGUCUUGCUCCAUGCUACUCCAUGUCCAAACAGCUUUCUCAAGUACUUUUUUCCACUGGAUUUCUGCCUUUUCUUCCCCCACCUUCACCUCAUGAAGUUCUGUGCAUCAUUCAAGGUCAAUUUCUAGCAUCAGGCCCUUCAAGAUCUUGCUCACAUGGGAUUGUAAUACCAUUGAAAUUAAAGCAGAGAGAUGCAUUUAGGAAAUCUCCUGACUUAAAAUGCUUCACAGAACUCCAAAAUUAAAUGACAUCAUACGUGUAAAAUGUUGAGCAGAACACAUGUGAUUUGGCAAGACGUCCUUGUGAAGAAAGAUAAAGAGAGGAUUUGAACAUUAUGCAGGAGAACGUUUCUGAAUUACAUCAAAUGUGGCAAUAUUACUGUAUUUUGAAACUGCUUAAAAGCAUAGAGUUGAACAAAAAUCAAAAUGACUCCAUAAAAUCUUCAAUGAGGUUGGAUUUUAAACUAAGUGAUCUUUUCCCUCUCUUCUGCAAACCUCCCUCACUCCUUUCUUGGCUUUUAGUUUCUGGAACCAGCACCACCCUGAAAACAACUAAGGAGGUUGGCAGCAUAAACAUAAUUCUGGUAGAACCCCACUUGAUCCUGGCUUUCCCUAUAAAACCCCCUAGCCCCUUCCUCUGGACAGGCUUGCAGUUUUUGAAGGCCAUAGCCUGUGGCAGCCUCCUUUGUCUUGCAAAGCAAUAAAGCUAUUGUUUCUCUCUA